rnacentral:rRNA from 1 species
AGCCGCGGUAAUACGGAGGGGUGCGAGCGUUAAUCGGAAUUACUGGGCGUAAAGCGCAUGCAGGCGGCCUGUUAAGUCAGAUGUGAAAGACCCGGGGCGUUAACCUCGGAAAUUGCAUUUGAAACUAGGCAGGCUAGAGUCUUGUAGAGGGGGGUAGGAAGUUUCAGGUGUAGCGGUGAAAUAGCGUAGAGAUCUGAAGGAAUACCAGUGGCGAAGGCGGCCCCCUCGGACAAAGACUGACGCUCAGAUGCGAAAGCGUGGGGAGCAAACAGGAUUAGAUACCCUGGUAG